rnacentral:lncRNA from 1 species
UCAGAACUUCAAAAGUUAUCGUGACACCGAAGUGCAUUGCCACUCUCCAGCCGCCCCUGUGCCGUGCCCAGCCAGGAGCUUUAACCUGACCUUCAGCUGGCCUUGGGCCUUAACUCCCCUCUGCUGGCCACCCCUUCACCUCCUCCUACUCAAGAGCACUUCAGCUUAUGAGUGGCAGAUCUGUCCCAAAGAUGCCAAUAAGCAUUGCCCACGAGAGAGUUGAAGAGAGGAGGAUGUAGGGGACGCUUCUGUGUGGGGUGUGUGGGGAAGAGCUUUCCUUUUGGCUCUUGGAGGCAGAACAUAUGCAGCAGGACCCAGCAGCUGAGGGAACUCAUGGCUCCAGCUCUCUAGAUUGAGGCAUGAUGUCUGCAGCCUCCUGCAUUACCUUGUCACUUCCAGAAAAUAGGAUUUCUCACCUACAGAUGGACCAGCUUUGGGCCAUACACAGGUCCAAAACUCUGAUUCUUAUGUGAAUUUUGGAGCUCCUGACACAAAUUGCAGGUGGUGCUAAAUCCAGCUGAUGAGGGACAGUCCAAGCAGGAGUACAGGGA